ACAUGUAAAAGCAUAUAAUACAAAAAAUAACAUUAUAUUACAAAAUUAUACAACUUUAAAACAACUUUUUUUUUCUUUUACAAGGGUUUUGGCCCAUGAUGCCAAGUAUAUUACUGUGUAAUAUGCUUCUAUUGCCUUCUACUCCCUCCCUGGAAUGCUGGAAAAUAUCAAAGACAACAUUAAAAAAAAAAAAAUUACUUUGACAACAGCACUUCCGGACAAAGGGUCCAGUGCAUGAAAACCGGAAAAACUGGCGCAUUGUAGCCUCAAAAACUGAAGGGAAAAAAUGGAAUACCCCUUUAAUGUCUCAUGCACACACAAUGUGCACAGGAUGUAGGGAGGCACGUGAAGUUCCUGUGACUGCAUUUAAUUUUCAAUGUGACGGAGAUCCCUUACAUGAAAAUAACUAGCCAGUAUACAGAGCCAACAGUAAAUAUAUUAAUACUUUGCAUGGUAAUCAUGUACAAUGUAUAUUUCUGUAGGUUACAUUUAUCUUUAGUAGAGAGAAAAAAGAGUUGGGCCUCAUGCACACCACGAUUUGUGCCUCUGAGGCAUGGAUAUUUCAAAAUGACAUGCCAACAUAUCCAUGCUCGGACAGGUACGGGCCGCAUUUAUUUUAAUGGCCUAAGCAAAGUCAACUAGUGACUUUUCGGGUCAUUUUUCAAGUGUACAAGGUUUUUGUCGGACUAAGAAAAGUGGUACAGAAAAAUGGCAUCACCACUGGCAUCCUAAAAACCACAAAAUUUGGCACAGCCAUUCUCAUUCGAAAUGUUGUCACAAUAUAUAAGUAUGGUUGUAAACAUUUCCAUUAAAAGUUGAUCAUUUGGGAAGGUAAUAGCAUCCACACAGUUUUUGGCAUCUGUAUUUUUAAGCCAAAACCAGGGAGUGGGACAUUUACAGCGGAAAGUAAAAUGGAAACAUUUUUAAGUCUUUCAUGAUUUGGAGCCACUCCCGGGUUUGACUUUCAAAUACCAAUGUACAAUUCCGACCACAGUAUAAGUGUGAAUGGAGAACUAAGGUACCUUCACAAGAGUGGAUUACUCACGAGUUUCUCACUGCAGGUUUGAGCUAUGGACGGUUUUCCUCAGCUCAAAAUCUACAGCAGAUAACACUGACCUCAAUGUAAUCUGCUGCGGAAACCCGAAUGGGAAGUUUUCUGGAAGUCCCACUAUGUAAGCGUUCCCUUUACUAGUAAACUUAUCAGAAAUUUCACUGGUGGGGUCCGCAAGCCAGAAAUCCUACUGAUCUCUUCCGGUGUUACAUUAAAAGAUACCAGAGUAUGCAAAAAAAAUUAUUAACAUGUUCUAGGGACAUGUCAAAAGUCAUGUCAUGGAUUUGCAUAUGAGGCUGUCUUGGUCACACCUUUUGUGUAUACUUUGUCUUGGUCACACAAGCCAGGAGUGAACUCGCUUAGUGCGAACAUUGUAGCGAUCGUUGGGUCUGAACACUCAGAUCCCGGCCAAUCAAAACUUCCAACAUGCCCUUAGAACACAGUAAGUGUUAUUUGAAAACUCAGUGUCCGUUUAAGCAAUGAUCUCAAAUGGGUUAUCUGUGGGAGUGCUCUUUAUUUUUAACUAUGCCCAUUGUGUAGUGUAUAUAUAUAAAAAAUACUUUACUCACAUGCAGUGCUCUGGUGGUGGCUUCAGUAUCCUGCAUGGGUUCCCGAUGCGAUUCUUUUUCUGCUUCUGGGGGUCAACACGUCACAUUGCAGCUCAGUACCGCAGGAGUGUUGGAGACAUAAGAAGCGUGGACAUGGAUUUGAGAAAAGACCAAUAAACAACUACUUCCAACUGUACUACAGUCAUUUCAAUUCUAAAACAAGAGUAACAUGUGUCUGGCACAAAACCAGUUAAUGCCAGCAAUGUGCAAAACCAUUUACCAAAAUAUGAAUUAGGCAACAAAAUAGCAUUCUUCAAAUAAAUUACUGCAUGACUACCUUCACUAACUAGUUCCUGAGAAUAUUUUCUUUCUUAUCUUUAAAAUAAUAGAUAUUUAAAGGGGUAUUCCAGGAAAAAAAAUCAACUGGUUCUAGUAAGUUAAACAGAUUUGUAAAUUACUUCUAUUUAAAAAUCUUAAUCCUUCCAAUAAUUAUCAGCUGAUGAAGUUGAGUUGUUCUUUUCUGUCUGGCAACAGUGCUCUCUGCUGACAUCUCUGCUUGUCUUGGGAACUGCACAGAAUAGAAGAGGUUUGCUAUGGAGAUUUGCUUCUACUCUGGACAGUUCAAGUGUCAUCAAAGAGCACUUAGACAUAAAACAACAACUCAACUUCAACAGCUCAUAAGUACUGAAAGGAUUAAGAUUUUUAAAUAGAAGCACAGUUUUCAAUAAUUUAAUUAUUCUUUUUAUAUUUUUUAAAAAUCUUGUACACUUUCCUUGAGGUCGGGCAAAAUAGAUUUAUUUGUAUUUAUAUUGUUUACACCUUGGGUAUGCCCAUCAGACCUCGGUCAGUGUAGAAAUUGUGAGCUGCACCAUUUCCUUUUCUUUUUUAGUAUUAAUUUACAAAUCUGUAACUUUCUAGAGCCAGUUGAUAUACAUAUAUA